AUUGAACGCUGGCGGCGUGCCUAAUACAUGCAAGUCGAGCGAAUGGAUUAAGAGCUUGCUCUUAUGAAGUUAGCGGCGGACGGGUGAGUAACACGUGGGUAACCUGCCCAUAAGACUGGGAUAACUCCGGGAAACCGGGGCUAAUACCGGAUAACAUUUUGAACCGCAUGGUUCGAAAUUGAAAGGCGGCUUCGGCUGUCACUUAUGGAUGGACCCGCGUCGCAUUAGCUAGUUGGUGAGGUAACGGCUCACCAAGGCAACGAUGCGUAGCCGACCUGGGAGGGUGAUCGGCAACACUGGGACUGAGAAACGGCCCAGACUCCUACGGGAGGCAGCAGUAGGGAAUCUUCCGCAAUGGACGAAAGUCUGACGGAGCAACGCCGCGUGAGUGAUGAAGGCUUUCGGGUCGUAAAACUCUGUUGUUAGGGAAGAACAAGUGCUAGUUGAAUAAGCUGGCACCUUGACGGUACCUAACCAGAAAGCCACGGCUAACUACGUGCCAGCAGCCGCAGUAA
rnacentral:rRNA from 1 species